CCCCCCUGGACCCGCCCUCAUCAGGACCAACUGGGGCAAGAGUGGCCCCACCAUCCCCAUCAUCAUUGGGUUGCUUGUUCUCCUCCUCGCUGCUGCUGCUGCUGUUGUUGGAGUCCUUCUGUACAAGAAGAGGAACGCUUCAGACAAGCGACAAAAACCAGGUGGUUCUGACACCAGCUCUGAGAACACUGAGGGGCAGAAUCCGGCUCCUGAGGCCCAACCUCUGACCAAAGUCUAAAGUUAAAUCAUGAAGAGUCUUCUCACAUUCCUCUUCCUAAAGCAGGUUGGAGUGGAUCGCUGUCAUCUAUAAUCAUCACAAUCAGUUUGGGGACUUCAGCUAACUAAAGAUGCUAUAUUUGCUUAAUUAGAUUAACAUUCAUACUUUAUUUUGAUAAAAAACAUAAAUCCGUAAGAAGUGUAAAUCAAUUAGAUCUCUGUAUUUUUGAUCGAUUAACUCAAUGGGUUAAUCCUGCAAUCUUUCACUGACCCUUGGAAACCAUGGCAACAUGACCCCGCCAU